CUCAGCCGCGGUAAUUCCAGCUCCAAUAGCGUAUAUUAAAGUUGUUGCAGUUAAAAAGCUCGUAGUUGAACUUCAGGCCUGGCUGGGCGGUCCGCCUUCCGGGCGAGUACUGCCUGUGGUCGGGUCCUACCUUCUGGCGAAGCGUCAUGGCCUUAACCGGCCGUGGCGGGGAACCAGGACUUUUACUGUGAAAAAAUUAGAGUGUUCAAAGCAGGCACGCGCUUGAAUACAUUAGCAUGGAAUAAUGGAAUAGGACAGUGGUUCUAUUUGUUGGUUUCUAGGACCGUUGUAAUGAUUAAUAGGGAUAGUUGGGGGCAUUAGUAUUCAAUUGUCAGAGGUGAAAUUCUUGGAUUUAUUGAAGACUAACUACUGCGAAAGCAUUUGCCAAGGAUGUUUUCAUUAAUCAAGAACGAAAGUUAGGGGAUCGAAGACGAUCAGAUACCGUCGUAGUCUUAACCAUAAACUAUGCCGACUAGGAAUCGGGCGAUGUUGACAAAAUGACGCGCUCGGCACCUCAUA
rnacentral:rRNA from 1 species